rnacentral:rRNA from 1 species
GGCGGCGUGCUUAACACAUGCAAGUCGAGCGGUAAGGCCCUUUCGGGGGUACACGAGCGGCGAACGGGUGAGUAACACGUGGGUGACCUGCCCUUAGCUCUGGGAUAAGCCUGGGAAACUGGGUCUAAUACCGGAUAUGACUCCAUGAUGCAUGUUGUGGGGUGGAAAGCCUUGUGCGGCUGGGGAUGGGCCCGCGGCCUAUCAGCUUGUUGGUGGGGUGAUGGCCUACCAAGGCGACGACGGGUAGCCGGCCUGAGAGGGCGACCGGCCACACUGGGACCGAGACACGGCCCAGACUCCUACGGGAGGCAGCAGUGGGGAAUCUUGCGCAAUGGGCGAAAGCCUGACGCAGCGACGCCGCGUGAGGGAUGACGGCCUUCGGGUUGUAAACCUCUUUCAGCCCUGGCGAAGCGAAAGUGACGGUAGGGGCAGAAGAAGCACCGGCCAACUACGUGCCAGCAGCCGCGGUAAUACGUAGGGUGCAAGCGUUGUCCGGAAUUAUUGGGCGUAAAGAGCUCGUAGGUGGCCUGUCGCGUCGGCUGUGAAAACUCGGGGCUCAACUCCGAGCUUGCAGUCGAUACGGGCAGGCUGGAGUG